rnacentral:rRNA from 1 species
GAUGAACGCUGGCGGCGUGCUUAACACAUGCAAGUCAAACGAAGCACUUUAUUUGAUUUCCUUCGGGACUGAUUAUUUUGUGGCUGAGUGGCGGACGGGUGAGUAACGCGUGGGUAACCUGCCUUGUACAGGGGGAUAACAGUUGGAAACGGCUGCUAAUACCGCAUAAGCGCACAGCAUCGCAUGAUGCAGUGUGAAAAACUCCGGUGGUAUAAGAUGGACCCGCGUUGGAUUAGCUAGUUGGUGAGGUAACGGCCCACCAAGGCGACGAUCCAUAGCCGACCUGAGAGGGUGACCGGCCACAUUGGGACUGAGACACGGCCCAAACUCCUACGGGAGGCAGCAGUGGGGAAUAUUGCACAAUGGGCGAAAGCCUGAUGCAGCGACGCCGCGUGAGCGAAGAAGUAUUUCGGUAUGUAAAGCUCUAUCAGCAGGGAAGAUAAUGACGGUACCUGACUAAGAAGCACCGGCUAAAUACGUG